rfam:Bipolaris zeicola 26-R-13 unplaced genomic scaffold scaffold_30, whole genome shotgun sequence.
GGGCGUAUAGCUCAGUGGUAGAGCGCCCGCUUUGCAUCAAGCAAAGUUGCGGGAGGUCUGGAUUUCGAUCAUCCAUCCGUCCA